UGCGUUGCCCGAUGCACCGUAACGGGUAGAUGAAUUUGAUGUCAUUUCUGCCGCUCGAUGAGCGACACAGGUUACACACAAUUUGGAAUCUCAAAUAUAAAUUCCUGUCAUUAUUGCUUCUAAAAUCGGGCCCUUAAUUACCGCUAAUAGAGCGUCCAGAUUAAAAGGGGGAUACAUAGGCCGUUGAUAGUAUAAAACAUUUUCGUUAAAAUCUCAUGCUACAUUCAUCGUGUAUAAAACAAGUGUGGAUACUGAAUGUUGGCAAAUGGGAAGUUCACAUGAAUAUGGGAUUGAGUAAAAGAAACUGCUUGCAAACCAAGUUCAUUAAAAACAUCCUCUGCGGGGUCGGAAAAAGCAACAAAUUCAUGUACAGAAUUCUGAAUUGCACUAAGAA
rnacentral:sRNA from 1 species